UGGUGGAGUGAUUUGUCUGCUUAAUUGCGUUAACGAACGAGACCUCGACCUGCUAAAUAGUUUGGUGAACCCUUCGGGGUUGAUACAUGACUUCUUAGAGGGACUGACCGUUUGAGCGGUCGGAAGUUCGAGGCAAUAACA
rnacentral:rRNA from 1 species